GUUCACUUCACGGGGUCCCGUUAGAUGCACAAAGUGCUAUCUAACCGGGAAAGGAACACCGGUGUAAAUCCGGGGCUGUUUCGCAACUGUGAGAGCCAGAAAACUAGCGGAUUCGAAGCCACAGAA
rnacentral:ncRNA from 2 species